GGGCCUAUAGCUCAGCUGGGAGAGCGCUUCAAUGGCAUUGAAGAGGUCAGGGGUUCGAAUCCCCUUAGGUCCACCA
rnacentral:tRNA from 1 species